GCUCCCUCCCCUGAGAUCCUCUCCCCCCCUCCCCUCCCCUCCUUUCCCUUCCCUCCCCUCCCCUCCUUUCCCUUCCCUCCCCUCGUUCCCUUCGUUCCCCUCGCUCCCCUUGCUCCUCUUCCGGGGCUUCAGCCUGUCCUGCCUUCCCUUCUUGCCCGCUGUGGACCCCCAGGCUGGGUGGGGGGUCUUCAUUGUUACUCAGCGGGGACACCCUCCUGCCGCUGCGGGGGCUCGCUGGGGGAGGGGACCCGGGUCCACGUCCCCACUUACCUGUUCCCCCCCCUACUCCCCGGUCCGCACCCUAAUCCCCAGUCCGCGCCCCACUCCCCGGUCCGCCCCCCUAACUCCCGGGUCCGCUCCCCCACUGCACUGGUCCGCGCCUCCAUUCCCGGGUCCACCCCCUCACUCUCCGGGUCCGCCCCCCAACUCCUCGGUCCGUGCCCCCACUUCCCGGGUCCGACUCCCCCCACUCCCGGCUCCGCGUCCCCACCCACGGGUCCGCCCCCCCCCACUGCCCUGAUCCACGCCCUCACUCCUGGGUCCGUCCUCCCACUCCCUGGCCCACCCCCCCACUCCCCUGGUCCGCGCCCCCAUUCCUGGGUCCGCCCCCCAACUCCUCGGGUCCGCCCCCCAACUCCUCGGUUCCACCCGCCAACUCCCUGGUCCGUGCCCCUACUCUCUGGUCUUCGCCCCGACUCCCGGGUCCGUCCCCCUACUCCCCGGUCCGCUCCCCCCACUCCCCGGUCCGCCCCUCCAACUACCCGGGUCCGCCCCCCCAAUCCCCGGUCCGCCCCCCAACUCCCUGGUCCACCCCCCCCACCUCCCCGGGUCCGCGCCCCCACUCCCGGGUCUGCCCUCCCCACUCCCCGGGCCCCGAGGUGCCAGCCAUGGAGCCUCCCGCCAGAGGGUCCUGGGCCCCUGUCCGCGGGUCGGGGUUCACCCACGUGGCCAUGCGCUCCAGCCUGGUCCCUGCCGCACGCCCGGCCCCACUCGCCCUCUGGGCUUGUCCGCGCCCCCCUGCCUUUCCGGGCAGACCCGGCUCCUUGCUCUCCUUUGGGCCCCUUCCCAGCUGCCUGCCUGCCCUAGCCAGCUCCCAGGUGAAGAGACUCUCGGCUUCCAGGCGGAAACAGCACUUCAUCAACCAGGCAGUGCGGAACUCAGACCUCGUGCCCAAGGCCAAGGGGCGGAAGAGCCUCCAGCGCCUGGAGAACACCCAGUACCUCCUGACCCUGCUGGAGACAGACGGGGGCCCGCCUGGCCUGGAGGAUGGGGACUUGGCACCCCCUGCAUCACCAGGCAUCUUUGCCGAGGCCUGCAACAACGCCACCUACGUGGAGGUCUGGAACGAUUUCAUGAACCGCUCCGGGGAGGAGCAGGAGCGGGUUCUUCGCUACCUGGAGGAUGAGGGCAGGAGCAAGGCGCGGAGGAGGGGCCCUGGCCGUGGGGAGGACCGGAGGAGAGAGGACCCCGCCUAUACACCCCGCGAGUGCUUCCAGCGCAUCAGCCGGCGUCUGCGAGCCGUCCUCAAGCGCAGCCGCAUCCCCAUGGUCCCGCAGUUCCCUGACCACCGGGCCGCUCUCCCCAGGAAACGCUGGAGACCUGGGAGGAGCGGCUGCUUCGGUUCUUCUCCGUGUCCCCCCAGGCCGUGUACACAGCAAUGCUAGACAACAGCUUCGAGAGGCUUCUGCUGCACGCUGUCUGCCAGUACAUGGACCUCAUCUCGGCCAGUGCUGACCUGGAGGGGAAGCGGCAGAUGAAGGUCAGUAAUCGGCACCUGGAUUUCCUGCCGCCGGGGCUGCUCCUGUCCGCCUACCUGGAGCAGCACAGCUGAUGGCGGCCCCGCGGAGACCCCGCUGCCACCUCGCCCAGCCAUCAAGCCCUCCGAUACCUUCGGCUAAAAUAUCUUUCAUAUUUUUAGAAUUUGUCCUCGGAAACCUUUUUCGCUUGGGGUGGUCUCUCUCACUCUGCCCCCUCCUCACGCAGCUCUUGGCAGUCAACAGACGCUGGCGGCUGGGGCUGCCCAUGCCAUCCCAGCUCCAAGCUUCCCACUCCGGGACUUGUGUUUGGGUGGGGAGACCUGACCUGGGCAUGUUCCUGUUUCUUCAUCGUUGAGCUUUUCUGGCCCGGUCUGAAGCUCAAGUGAGGAGGGGGAGGCUGGGUUUUUAUCACUUUUAAUGAAUUUGGUGUGAUUUGUUGUAGAUUUUUAAAUUUCCCUUUUGGAGAGAAAAACCAAAAAAACUCGCCCCACUGGUAAAACAUGGAUCUUGGUCCCAGCCCCUGCUCAGCCCCUCCCAGUUUUUAGCUUGAAUGAGGGUGGGGUCUCUGGGACCCUGCCCCUCAUGCCAGAAGCAUCUUGUGUUGUAUAUGUGUGCGCGCGUGUGCCCUGAGACCCGGGACAGAAGCCACGGUCCUAAGAGCCGGUUUUAUCCUCGUCAUUCUGCUUGUCCUCCCCCACGCCACCUGUGUCGGGGCUCAGGGUCUCCUGCUUUAUAUGAGCCCCCCUCCUUUCCUCCCUUCCUUUAUGCUGGGGGUCCAGGACUUCCAGCCAGAAGCCUCUGCCCUUGCACUACCUUGUCUGUCCCCCCUUCCCGUGUCCCCUCGUCCCCCAGCCUGACUCCUGCCUGAUAGCUCCUAUGUCCCCGUGCUGGUCCUCCUGGCCCAGGCUGCAGGAGCCAGGCUGGGGGGCCUCCGCACCCCCUUGCUGCGUGUGGGUAAUUGUGUUUUGGGGGAAAGUGGGGAAUUUAAUAAAUUUCUGGUGCUCUGGC